GACGAACGCUGGCGGCGUGCUUAACACAUGCAAGUCGAACGGAAAGGCCCUGCUUUUGUGGGGUGCUCGAGUGGCGAACGGGUGAGUAACACGUGAGUAACCUGCCCUUGACUUUGGGAUAACUUCAGGAAACUGGGGCUACUACCGGAUAGGAGCUCCUGCUGCAUGGUGGGGGUUGGAACGUUUCGGCGGUUGGGGAUGGACUCGCGGCUUAUCAGCUUGUUGGUGGGGUAGUGGCUUACCAAGGCUUUGACGGGUAGCCGGCCUGAGAGGGUGACCGGCCACAUUGGGACUGAGAUACGGCCCAGACUCCUACGUGAGGCAGCAGUGGGGAAUAUUGCACAAUGGGCGGAAGCCGGAUGCAGCAACGCCGCGGGCGGGAUGACGGCCUGCGGGUUGUAAACCGCUUUCGCCUGUGACGAAGCUGGAGUGACGGUAAUGGGUAAAGAAGCACCGGCUAACUACGUG
rnacentral:rRNA from 1 species